UUCUAUACUUGGAGCGCCAUCUAAAAUAUAGGAAGUUUGGGCUUUGUAUGUCGAAGACAACAUGUCUACAAAAUCACCUAAAAUAUUGGAGAAAUAAUUCUUCAUGAAAGUACCUUAAAUGGUACUUCUAUCCCAAAUUAAUUUCUAAUUUGUAGUUCUUCCUUUGAAUUGAGAUGUGAAAUUCUUCAACACAACAUCCAACCCUACUCACCAUCUUUUAGUUACCACUGCCAUCUCAUAUUGUUUUCUUCCAUUUAAGGGACUAUUUGGAUGGUUGGACCCAAAAUCCUAUGG
rnacentral:lncRNA from 1 species